rnacentral:rRNA from 1 species
UACGAGCUGAAGACUCUGGGUCACCUCCCACCCGUGUCUAUCGUACCUUGUUGCUUCGGCGGGCCCGCCGUUUCGACGGCCGCCGGGGAGGCCUUGCGCCCCCGGGCCCGCGCCCGCCGAAGACCCCAACAUGAACGCUGUUCUGAAAGUAUGCAGUCUGAGUUGAUUAUCGUAAUCAGUUAAAACUUUCAACAACGGAUCUCUUGGUUCCGGCAUCGAUGAAGAACGCAGCGAAAUGCGAUAAGUAAUGUGAAUUGCAGAAUUCAGUGAAUCAUCGAGUCUUUGAACGCACAUUGCGCCCCCUGGUAUUCCGGGGGGCAUGCCUGUCCGAGCGUCAUUGCUGCCCUCAAGCACGGCUUGUGUGUUGGGCCCCCGUCCCCCUCUCCCGGGGGACGGGCCCGAAAGGCAGCGGCGGCACCGCGUCCGGUCCUCGAGCGUAUGGGGCUUUGUCACCUGCUCUGUAGGCCCGGCCGGCGCCAGCCGACACCCAACUUUAUUUUUCUAAGGUUGACCUCGGAUCAGGU